rnacentral:lncRNA from 1 species
UCAAAACAAGACAUGAACAAAAUAGAGUUUGGGGAUAACAUCCGAGGAGUUACCCCGAAGUAUUCGAAGACCUCAGUAAAGAAAGGGGAAAAAGGAAAUGGCAGACCGAAUUCCCUUUGCUUUAGAAAGAACACUAUACGGCGAUUCUCUUGGGGAUCGAUCAAACCAGGAGGGGGAGGGUAAGGAAGAACUAUCCUCUCAUUGGGAAGAGGCGCUCGAAUAAGAUACAGUGGAGUAUCUAAGAGCCUCCGGGAAAUAUGCUUAGUUAUGUUGGAAGGUGUAAUAUGCGACUCAAGGUCAAAAACAUCAGGAAGCUUUGAACUUGCCAUGGAAGAACAAGGAAGCGUACCUGAGAACACGAUGGGAUGAAAAACUGUAGAAGGAGUUGCAGGAAGACAGAGAGCAGACAAGAGCUAGUUCUUCAAAAGACCGAAGGAAUUCGAACAGAAAGGCAAUUAUGAGGUAGAGCGUUGAUCUGAACAGUUUUGUCUUGGAGCGGCGCGAUCAUUAAUUGUUCUCGAAGUUUACCCUCUCAACGGUUAGGUAAUACCCGGCGAGAAGGUAAAGGGGCAAAAGGAUGAUCGCUGGGCUUAUCUACAUCUAUCAAGGGCCAAGUACACGAUGACAGCCCAUCAUUUAAAAGCCCAUUCGCCAUCCACAUAAUACAAGCCCAACUCAUCAGUCAGAGCAACUUAGCCUACUACUUUACCAUCCCUAUGGUAAAUGCCGAGGAAACAGAGGGGCAAGUCAUGAAAAGACUCAAAAGUACAAGCAAAUGGGAGCAUGAUAAAGGUUAGACUUGCUCAUCACUUAAAAAGUUAUAAGAUGUGAUUUAUCGUUAAACAAAGGCUGUGAGAUCGGAAAGAGGCGCCAAGAGCACCUCGGGAUCAUACAGAGCUGAGAGCUCAGAAAUUAACUCAAGGAUUAAAAGGCCGAGCUCACAAGUCGGAUUAGUCCAGCUCGGAAAACAUAACUUGAGAGCUUGGUCGGCUAAAGGAGGCUCAAAGCUCAAUCCAUCAAGAAAAGACCGAGCUCACGGGUCGGUUAGUCAAGCUCGGAAGAGUAAACCGCCCGUCAAAUUGGUUAAGUAGGCCUGAGGCUCGGCUCAUCGACCAAAAGAAGAAGUUCGCGAAACACGGUCGAUUCAGCUCGAAAAAAAC